AAAGGGGUCCAAGAGAUAAAAAUUGAGAAAGCUUCAAACGGCUAAAAUAUUACAAAGAAUUACUAUUUCAUUGCAUUUCGACUUGAACGUUGGAGUCUCUUUGAAUUUCUGGAGCAGUCUUCUGAUUUGCAUAGAUUUAAAAUGGUUUAAGGUUGAUUUUUGGAAAGUUCUAGGUCAAGCUAUGUUGAAAUCACUGUUUCAUUGGCUUCAUAUUUUGAGAGUUCAAUUUCCUGAACCUGGGAUUGUGUUGUUGCUAUUACUGCUGCAUUCCUCACCUUUUCCUUUGUUUUUUAUCCAGGUAUUCAUUUUGGAAACUCACACAAUGUGACAUUCAAUUGAAAACUGAGAAUUAAAAUAGGGAUUCUGAUGCUUUGAUGCCUAG
rnacentral:lncRNA from 1 species